ACCUAGGUGGCUCAGUCGGUUAAGGGUCUGACUUCAGCUCAGGUCAUGAUCUCAAGGCACAUGGGUUCGAACCCCAUGUUGGGUU
rnacentral:tRNA from 1 species